rnacentral:SRP_RNA from 1 species
GUCGAGUUUGGUAACACAAACUUAUAACCUAAGUAGGGGCAUUAAGAUGUUGGAAAGUCUUU